GUCGGAUGCUUAACUGACUGAGCCACCCAGCACCCCCAGUAGGAAGGAAAAACUUGAAUUAUUUCCCCAUAAAAUUCACAGUAUCUUCUCUCCUUGAAUGUGGGCUGAACUCAGUGACGUGUCUUUGAAGCCUACAGUAUGGAAGAGAAAUAAAGUAUCUACAGAGAAGAAAUCUGGCAGAUACCACCUUAACCAGAUGAUCAAAGUUAACCUGAUAAUAAAUCAGUAAUAGAUUGAA